rnacentral:rRNA from 1 species
GGUGGAUUUAGCAGUAAAUCAAGAAUAGAGAGCUUGAUUGAAACAAGGCCAUUAAGCACGCACACACCGCCCGUCACCCUCCUCAAACAUCAUAUAAAAUAUUUUAACAAUAAAUCUUUGCACACUGAUAUAGAGGAGAUAAGUCGUAACAUGGUAAGCGUACUGGAAAGUGUGCUUGGAAGAAU